CAUUACAUAUUCUGUCUGAGAAGAUCUGAGUCAUCAUGCUAAGGGAUCAUCGAAUAUUUUUUGGUGAAGAUUGCCUUGCUUUAAGCAAUACCGAGCUGCCUUUUUUUCGAAGCGCGUGAGCUUUUUUCUUAUCUCUAGGGACGGUACCAUACUGCAGAAAAGCAACAAUCUCGUUCCUCCAAUCCCAAGAUAAGUUAUUAAAAUUUACC
rnacentral:lncRNA from 1 species